rnacentral:rRNA from 1 species
UACGUAGGGGGGCAAGCGUUGUCCGGAUUUAUUGGGCGUAAAGAGCGUGUAGGCGCCAGGUAGGUCCGUUGUGAAAACUCGAGGCUCAACCUCGAGACGUCGGCGGAAACCCUCUGGCUAGAGUCCGGAAGAGGAGAGUGGAAUUCCUGGUGUAGCGGUGAAAUGCGCAGAUAUCAGGAAGAACACCCCGUGGCGAAGGCGGCUCUCUGGGCAACAACUGACGCUGAGGAGCGAAAGCGUGGGGAGCGAACAGG